rnacentral:rRNA from 1 species
AUACUUAGGGUGCAAGCGUUAAUCGGAAUUACUGGGCGUAAAGCGCUCGUAGGCGGCUUGUUAAGUCGGAUGUGAAAUCCCCGGGCUCAACCUGGGAACUGCAUUCGAUACUGGCAAGCUAGAGUAUAGUAGAGGCAAGUGGAAUUCCGGGUGUAGCGGUGAAAUGCGUAGAUAUCCGGAGGAACAUCAGUGGCGAAGGCGACUUGCUGGACUAAUACUGACGCUGAGGAGCGAAAGCGUGGGGAGCAAACGGGAUUAGAAACCCCAGUAGUCC